UGGUUUCUCUUCAGGUCAUAUAAAUCUUUUGCCUUUUACUAAAGAUUUCCGUGGAGAGGAACACCACA
rnacentral:snRNA from 1 species